rnacentral:rRNA from 1 species
GAUGAACGCUGGCGGCGUGCCUAAUACAUGCAAGUCGAACGAACGGACGCGAAGCUUGCCUCACGGAUGUUAGCGGCGGAAGGGUGAGUAACACGUGGAUAACCUACCUAUAAGACUGGGAGCACUUCGGGAAACCGGAGCUAAUACCGGCUAAUGUUUUGAACCGCAGGGUUCAAAGGUGAAAUUCGGUCUGCCUCUCACUAAUAGCUGGAUCCGCGCUGCCUUAGCUAGUGGGUAAGGUCACGGCUUACCAAGGCCACGAUGCAUAGCCGACCUGAGAGGGGGAUCGCCCACACUGGAACUGAGCCCCGGUCCAGACUCCUACGGGAGGCAGCAGUAGGGAAUCUUGCGCAAUGGGCGAAAGCCUGACGGAGCAACGCCGCGUGAGUGAUGAAGGUCUUCGGAUCGUAAACCUCUGUUAUUAGGGAAGAACAUAUGUGUAAGUAACUGUGCACAUAUUGACGGUACCUAAUCAGAAAGCCACGGCUAACUACGUG